CCUUUACUUGAAGACUUUGAGGAUAUUCCUUAAGGGUGAGGAGAUUUACACCCAGGGUCUAGCAACUGAGGUAGCCAAGUGAUAUUCAGGGGAUCAGCCUGCAUUUUUGCUUCCCAAGAGCUGUUGUGUGUACCAAAUAUUUAUAAAUAAUGCCAGCUAUGGUGAUCCCCCAUCCUGCUGAGGGCCAGCUGCUCCUCCAAGUCUUCAUACAGGAGACUGGGGUUCAGACACCUGAUGUGGUCUGCCUAAGGCCAUUCAUUAGUACGGAGACCCCAGAGACUGGCCGGGUUUGGAAGGUGUGUGGGGAGAAUGGUACUUUCCAGGUUUCCUCAAUAUCUGGAGACCGCAGGAAACCCAAGAGAUGGGAGGCAUUAAGCUUGCAUUAAGAAAGAUGCUUCCUACAGUUGGAACUUUCCUUAAGCAGUGACUUCCCCCUCCAACAAGAUUGCUGGCCAGCGUCUGGCUGGUCAGUGUGAGGGGUGCACAACGAGUAGAAUUAACUGAAGGCUGGACUUUCAGAGCCCCUGAAUCUGAAAGUGACUGGUCUCUGUCAGCUGUGAGCUCUGUGAGACCAGGCACCAGUCUGCUUUGCUCAUCACCUGUCUCCAACACCUGGCAAAAGAAUAGCUGCACCAGGUGUACCUGCUACAUUCAUUAACUGGCAAAGCCUCGAGGCAAUGAGGCCCAGGAGAGACGAUUUUGAGAGAUGAAUGGCUAACCUGCCCCUGCUGACAGCUCAAUCAAGAAACCAACAGACAGUAGUUUCUAUGUUCCAGAAGCCCUUCCCUGGGGUCUUCUCCGAUGUGCACUGUUCGCUGCUACAGAUUGUCCUUGCGGCUCUGAGGCCCCUCCUUGAGUCUCCAGGCCCCAGUGCAAUGUCAGGAAGAAAAGCUGAGCCCCUCUGUCCUGAUGUCCAAUCCUGGCUCCUCUCAUACAUGUCCUGGGUGUCCCCUAUGAUGUCCUUGACCCUGGGGCAGAUGGUCUCUACACAACUAUGCAGUAAACCUCUGAGUGGCUCAUCUCUGUCUCUCUCUCUCUCUUUUUUUAAAAGAGGAUUUAGGCUUUACAGCAUAGCUAAAAAUACCACUGAAGAGCCUGCCUCUGUUUGGAGAGGUUCAGACAGUAAAGAAUCUGCCUGCAAAGCCUAUAGUCCAUGGGAUCACUAAAAGUCAGACAGGACUGAGUGACUAACACUUUCACUCAGUGGCCAAAAGCCAACUGACAAAGUGCUGACAGCCCCAACGACUGCAGUUUUUUUUUGCAUUUCACCAGGGAUUCUGGAGUUGGGGGACACUGGAGAUCUCAAUGUGAAACCAGCCCAUUUUACUGAAGACCUUGAGGGUUACAGGGGAGAUGGGGUGGAACUUGAAUUUUACUCCUCCCAGAAAGUCCUGGUGGCUCCAUCAUGAGCAAGGCUCUGGGCUCUGACACUUCCUGCCCUCUGGUUCCACCUCCAGGGUCUCCUAGGACAUGUAACUGAGUCCAGAGUGGGCUCCAGGGCAGAAUAUUCCUGAGGUCGCAAGGGACAAGAUCCAAGAUCCAAGUCUGACCUGGGCAGAGGCGUGACAACUGCAAGAUACUGCAUGCAGCCCCACAGACCUUACCUACAUGGAAGCUGUGGUGUGUCUGUGGUGUGUACCAGCUCGGAGAGGGCAAAAGUAGAAGCUCUUAGAGGUAGGGAGCUGUAGCCAAUGGCCGAUCCCAUGGCCUCUGAGAUGGAGGCUGCUUCUCUUUAAGAAAUCAGGCCCAGCCAAGGAGUUCGGAAGGCACACCGGUGGUCCUUGCCGAGGCUGAAACCCACUCAGUCAGGCAUGGGUCUAGGUGACGUUCUGAGAGUCAAGGGUGAUGAGCACCGGGACUGCGUCCUGAGACGACCUCCAUCUGUCUUUUUAGGUGUUUCCAUGUUUCUUUAGCGCAGGACUUCUUAAUCACCCGAGUCUUAAGAACCAUUCUGCCCUAAGGUCGUUCCCCAAAACUGACCUGCCAAAGCCCACUUCAGGGAUUCUGAUUCUAGAGUCUGGGGUGACAAUUUUGAAAAUUUCCCUGGGUGAGUCAGGUACGUG
ensembl:lncRNA